CCGAGCGGUCGGUCGACGCCGUGGAAACGCUGGCCGAAAAAAACGACAAAAAAAGUGUUUUCUUUUUUUUCGCGCAACGCUUUUUUGGCGGUUUGAUAACGAUAACGGUUUCGUUAUCUAUGCUAAUGACAUGUGAGAGUGGCGGGUGUUUGCGUCUCGCUCGCGCGGUUUUUUUUUCGUGCGUUUUGUGUGUGCUUGUGACUUUGUGUUUGUGAUGUGAUUUUGAGUGAAGAUGGUGCGCGGGAAACACAACGUGAAGACCGCAAUGUUAUAGUCAAAUAUUUAUUUUAAUUAAUUCAGUGCAAUAAAACAUAUAAAUUGUAUAUUUGAUUGUUAAUCACAACUAAAACGGGUUUCAAUGUAAUUGACGACUGCUUCGCGCAUUUUUGUUAUUAUAACAAUUAGUUUUGUUAAAAAAUUGUUAAUGCCAUCGUGGUUUUAAAUGAGAUUAAUUUAUUUAUCUUAUUUGUUUGAGUUAUAACAUAAAUAGUAACAAAAACUACAUAAUAUGGACAUUGAAGUAUUAAUUUCAAGUGAUUCUUUAAACCUUCAUUUAAAUAAUGUUUCGGACAUACAAAGAUAGUGGUUCUUUUGUGAAAUGUGUACAAACUUAUGAUGAACAUUGUGAACAAAAGAACAUUAAAUUUGAGGGUUAAACUGGACAAGGGGGUACAAUGUGGUUCAUAUGAGUGACUGUAGAGACCAGAGUUGUGAGAUGUAUACCACGUGGUACAGUAGGGGGGAUGGGGGGAUGCACCACCACCAAAUGGGGCAGCUGUACCACCAUGGCCCCCCCAUGAUCAAGACGGAGGCGGGGGUCAAUAAUGACUGCAUGAUGGCGGUGGAUUAUGCACCUCCUAUUAAGGCAGGAGCAUCAUCGGCGUUCGUCUGGAGCGGAGGGGGGGUGACGGGCGCGGGGGGGCAGGAGCAGCCGGCAG